rnacentral:rRNA from 1 species
UACGUAGGGACCAAGCGUUGUUCGGAUUUACUGGGCGUAAAGGGCGCGUAGGCGGCAAUUCAAGUCAUCUGUGAAAUCUCCGGGCUUAACUCGGAACGGUCAGAUGAUACUGCUUUGCUAGAGUGCGGAAGGGGCAAUCGGAAUUCUUGGUGUAGCGGUGAAAUGCGUAGAUAUCAAGAGGAACACCUGAGGUGAAGACGGGUUGCUGGGCCAACACUGACGCUGAGGCGCGAAAGCCAGGGGAGCAAACGGG